GUUACGACGACUAAAAUAUAUCCGCUGAUGGAAUUUGAUACAAAGAAAUGGAAAGUCAAUAUUUGGGAGCCUGAAACCAUUUUCUUUUGUUGUAAAGUAUUGUUGCCAACCCACCCGCAAUUUUACUAAUGUGUACUAUCGUUUGUCUGUUUGUCUUUUUCAUUUUUAGCCAUGGCGUUGUCAGUUUGUUUUAGAUUUCUGAUUUUGACUGUCCCUUUGGUAUCUUAUGUCCCUCUGUUUUUUAAUCUCUAGAUGUAAGUCAAAAUAUAAUGCAGACUUAACCUUAUCUGUAGGGGUGAGCAGCUGAGACAUCAAAUUCCCCCUUUUCAUAUAUGUGACCCGCCAUGACAUUUUCAGGAUUAUGGAGGUAGAACGUCAUUGUUAGAAAAAUUAUAAAAUGAUAAAUAUCGAGAUUCAAUGAAAUACGUAUUUUUGAAG
rnacentral:lncRNA from 1 species